GUAGGUGGCAAGCGUUGUCCGGAAUUAUUGGGCGUAAAGCGCGCGCAGGCGGUCCUUUAAGUCUGAUGUGAAAGCCCACGGCUCAACCGUGGAGGGUCAUUGGAGACUGGGGGACUUGAGUACAGAAGAGGAAAGCGGAAUUCCAAGUGUAGCGGUGAAAUGCGUAGAGAUUUGGAGGAACACCAGUGGCGAAGGCGGCUUUCUGGUCUGUAACUGACGCUGAGGCGCGAAAGCGUGGGGAGCAAACAGGGAUUAGAUACCCUGGUAGUCCACGCCGUAAACGAUGAGUGCUAAGUGUUAGGGGGGUUUCCGCCCCCUUAGUGCUGCAGCUAACGCAUUAAGCACUCCGCCUGGGGAGUACGGCCGCAAGGCUG
rnacentral:rRNA from 1 species